UACGUAUGGUGCAAGCGUUAUCCGGAUUUACUGGGUGUAAAGGGAGCGUAGGCGGCGCGUUAAGUCUGAUGUGAAAACCCGAGGCUCAACCGCGGGAGUGCAUUGGAAACUGGCGUGCUGGAGUGCCGGAGAGGUAAGCGGAAUUCCUAGUGUAGCGGUGAAAUGCGUAGAUAUUAGGAGGAACACCAGUGGCGAAGGCGGCUUACUGGACGGCAACUGACGCUGAGGCUCGAAAGCGUGGGGAGCAAACAGG
rnacentral:rRNA from 1 species